rnacentral:lncRNA from 1 species
AGAGAGCAGGACUGCUGUGCUCUCAGAAGCACGGAGGCCUCCGUGCUCCUGAGCCAUUUUCGAUGAUGGAAUUUCAGAAUCGACGAUCGGCUCCGUUAGACUUGAUCUAGCAUAUUUGAAGUUUCUAGAAAAUAAUUUUUUACGAUUUUUGAUAUCAUUUACCUAGCAAUCGAAAUGAUUCAAAAUCAAUAAUUUUUAAUGGCUGAAAAUAAAAAUUCUAUAAAAAGUGGUGAUAUAGAACUAAAAUUUUCGAUCAGAAAUAUUGAUCUUGUUGUAGAUUGUAUAAAGAAUUUUAUAUCAAAAUUUCAUCUGAUUUGAAUGCUUCUACACCGUUAAACUUGAAAUCGACCGAUAUCAACCAUUAAAAAUUAUUGAUUUUAAAUCCUUCUGAUCACUAGGUAAAUGAUAUCAAAAAAUCGCAAAAAUUAUUUUCUAAAAACUUCAAAUACACUAGAUCAAGUCUAAUGGAACCGAUCGUCAAUUCGGAAGCUCCAUCAUCGAAAACGACUUAGGAGCACGGAGGCCUCCGUGCUCCUAAUAGCACACAAGAGAAAAGGAAAAAAGAAAAGAGAAGAAAAGAGGAGAGAGAAAAAAUCUGUUAACUUUAACCCAUCUAAUAGUGGGUUUUCCAGUUAAAAGGGAAUUUAAUCUCAUCCAUCCAUCUAUCUAGAUGGAUGGUGGAUGUUGUAAUAGCACAGGGACUGCUGUGCUCUUAAGAGCACGACGGUUUAAGAGCACAACAGCCCUACUCACUCACUCUCUCUCUCUCUCUCUCUCUCUCUCUCUCUCUCUCUCUCUCUCUCUCUCUCUCUAUAUAUAUAUAUAUAUAUAUAUAUAUAUAUAGAGAGAGAGAGUUGAUCUAGGAUACUUUCACAAGUAUCAUCUCCAUGUUGCUAUCACGUUUUUAGCCAUUGGAUUUACUUUUUAAUUAUAAAUAGCCCUUGGAUCAAACACUAUUCCACCUACCACCACCUACCACCACCUACCACCAUCAUCUCAACCUCACAUCUCUCCAUCCAAGGGCUAAAAACACACAAGUAUCACUUGGGUGAUACUUGUAAAAGUAUUCUAGCCCUACUCAUAUAUAUAUAUAUAUAGGCUAAUAUACUAUUAAUAGCACAAAGUCAUUGGUGCUACAAAGUUUUUGGUCAUUGGAUUAAGAGAUGUGCGGUUAGGAUGAUAUGGGCCCCCUAGGAUUGAGUGGGUGGUUGCUUGAAUAGUAUAAUCUAACGGGUGAAAAUGAUCAAAAGGGUAGAUCUAACGGCGGAAAACUUGAUAGCACCGAGUGCUUCGUGCUAUUAAUAGCAUAGUAGCCGGACUCU